UACGUAGGGGGCUAGCGUUGUCCGGAUUUAUUGGGCGUAAAGAGCGUGUAGGCGGCCAGGUAGGUCUGCUGUGAAAACUCGAGGCUCAACCUCGAGACGUCGGCGGAAACCAUCUGGCUAGAGUCCGGAAGAGGAGAGUGGAAUUCCUGGUGUAGCGGUGAAAUGCGCAGAUAUCAGGAAGAACACCCGUGGCGAAGGCGGCUCUCUGGGACGGUACUGACGCUGAGACGCGAAAAGCGUGGGGAGCGAACAGGAUU
rnacentral:rRNA from 1 species